UACCUACUUAACUCAGUGGUUAGAGUGUUGCUUUCAUACGGCGGAAGUCAUUGGUUCAAAUCCAAUAGUAGGUAG
rnacentral:tRNA from 1 species